UUGAACGCUGGCGGCAUGCCUUACACAUGCAAGUCGAACGGUAGAGGAGCAAUCCUCGAGAGUGGCGAACCGGUGAGUAAUGUAUCGGAACGUGCCCAGUAGUGGGGGAUAGCCCGGCGAAAGCCGGAUUAAUACCGCAUACGUCCUGAGGGAGAAAGCGGGGGACCUGCAAGGGCCUCGCGUUAUUGGAGUGGCCGAUGUCGGAUUAGCUAGUUGGUGGGGUAAAGGCCUACCAAGGCGACGAUCCGUAGCUGGUCUGAGAGGACGACCAGCCACACUGGGACUGAGACACGGCCCAGACUCCUACGGGAGGCAGCAGUGGGGAAUUUUGGACAAUGGGCGCAAGCCUGAUCCAGCCAUUCCGCGUGAGUGAAGAAGGCCUUCGGGUUGUAAAGCUCUUUCGGCCGGGACGAAAUCGCACGGGUCAAUACCCUGUGUGGAUGACAGUACUGGAAGAAGAAGCACCGGCUAACUACGU
rnacentral:rRNA from 1 species